UAGAAGGCUAGUACUUAUGAAGGCGAAAU
rnacentral:piRNA from 1 species